UGAGGCUUAAUAGAGCUCUCCUCACUCCUACUAUAAAGGAGAUGAUAGUAGGCCAUGGCUGCUAGUUCAUGAAUACCCCUGGGUGCGCAUAUAGGGGUUGCGCAGGCUAAGGGUUUGCAUGACCUUGGAGACAUGGUUACCUUGGUCUUUUUCAUAUUGGAGUGAAGGGAGCUCUGUUGUCUUUCUAA
rnacentral:pre_miRNA from 1 species